GAGUUUGAUCCUGGCUCAGGACGAACGCUGGCGGCGUGCCUAAUACAUGCAAGUCGAACGAACACCUUCGGGUGUUAGUGGCGAACGGGUGAGUAACACGUAAGUAACCAACCUAUAAGACGAGGAUAACUACUGGAAACGGUAGCUAAUACUGGAUAGGAUAUGAGACCGAUGGUUUUAUAUUUAAAGAUGCGUUUGCAUCACUUAUAGAUGGGCUUGCGGCGCAUUAGCUAGUUGGUAGGGUAAAAGCCUACCAAGGCGACGAUGCGUAGCCGACCUGAGAGGGUGAACGGCCACACUGGGACUGAGACACGGCCCAGACUCCUACGGGAGGCAGCAGUAGGGAAUCUUCGGCAAUGGACGAAAGUCUGACCGAGCAACGCCGCGUGAGUGAAGAAGGUCUUCGGAUUGUAAAACUCUGUUAUUAGGGAAGAACGGAUGUAGGAGGAAAUGCCUAUAUUGUGACGGUACCUAAUGAGAAAGCCACGGCUAACUACGUGCCAGCAGCCGCGGUAAUACGUAGGUGGCAAGCGUUGUCCGGAAUUAUUGGGCGUAAAGAGUGCGUAGGCGGUCAAUUAAGUCUCAUUUGAAAGCCCAUGGCUUAACCAUGGAGAGUGAUGGGAAACUGGUUGACUUGAGUACAGGAGAGGAAGGUGGAAUUUCACGUGUAGCGGUGAAAUGCGUAGAUAUGUGAAGGAACACCGGUGGCGAAGGCGGCCUUCUGGCCUGAAUCUGACGCUGAUGCACGAAAGCGUGGGUAGCAAACAGGAUUAGAUACCCUGGUAGUCCACGCCGUANACGAUGAGUACUAAGUGUUGGGGGAAACCUCGGUGCUGAAGUUAACGCAUUAAGUACUCCGCCUGGGAAGUACGGUCGCAAGACUGNAAC
rnacentral:rRNA from 1 species